rnacentral:lncRNA from 1 species
CGGGAUUCGAUCCCGCGACCUCGUGCUCAGCAGCCCAACACCACAGCCACGCAGCAACCACCGCGGGUUGAAAUAUGCCGUUAAAAUCAACAA